UGGGGAAUAUUGGACAAUGGGCGAAAGCCUGAUCCAGCAAUACCGCGUGAGUGAUGAAGGCCUUAGGGUUGUAAAGCUCUUUUAGUAGGGAAGAUAAUGACGGUACCUACAGAAAAAGCACCGGCUAACUCCGUGCCAGCAGCCGCGGUAAGACGGAGGGUGCUAGCGUUGUUCGGAAUUACUGGGCGUAAAGAGCGCGUAGGCGGCCUGAUAAGUUGGAAGUGAAAGCCCGGGGCUUAACCUCGGAACUGCUUUCAAAACUAUUGGGCUAGAGUAUGGUAGAGGGUGAUAGAAUUCCUAGUGUAGAGGUGAAAUUCUUAGAUAUUAGGGGGAAUACCGGUGGCGAAGGCGGUCACCUGGGCCAUUACUGACGCUGAGGCGCGAAAGCGUGGGGAGCAAACAGG
rnacentral:rRNA from 1 species